rnacentral:tRNA from 1 species
UCUCGUGGUGUGUAGUUGGCAACGCGCCUGUCUAGUGACUAGGAGUCGUGAGUUCGAGUCCCAUCGAGAGAA